ACUAAACUAAAAAUCUCUUGUCUCUUUUUUUCCAUUUUCCUUCUUGCCAACUCUAUCCUGUCUCCAAGUGCAGACCGUUUUGUGGCGACUCGACGUAAGUUCACACAGGAAUGACAUUUUCAUGAAUAACGCAGGGUGCCUUUAUUCAAUACACCCCUCAUCAUGUCCAAACUUUUUUUUUUUCCCCUUUGAUAAUGUAAUAUUCACAGUUGGAAAUGAACAGGUUAAAUGUGAUAUACAAUACACUUAUUUGCAUUUUAUUUCCAAUCAUUGGAAAGCAAUUUGUUACUAUUAAAUUGUGGAGUUCAUCAUGAAAAUCCAAAUAAUUACUAAUUGAAUGUGAUUACCUCCUUUGUGCAGCUCUUUAUAUUAGAAAAAAAAUCUAAUUUAAUGUUCCUUAAUAUGGAAUAGACAAUCACUAUCUAUGCCGCCAUUGAUUUAUUUUAUUAUUCAUUUAAUCCUAUGUUUAGAAAUGUGUAUAUCCUUCUAAGGUACUUUGCAUGCUUCUGUUUACAGCUUACGGAGCUGCUUGGCCUCAUAACUUAUUACAUUGUAGGAAUACUUAAAACACGGUAAAGGAAAUAACAUUUUCCAAAACACAUCAUAUUUUAUCAGCAGAGUAAUCCAUUGUUGUUACUGCUUACCAGGACAUGGUUAUAAACAUUAUAGAGGGAACUUAAAAUAAAGAGUCUAAAAUGCGCAGGGAUAAUAGAAACUUUUGUAAAAUACUUUGAGGUCCUAAAUUUAAAUUUAUGGUUCUGUGGUUGGAUUCAAGUUGGACUCGCUGGAGGAUGUGGUGGAGAGAUGUACUGUUAGGAAGGUGGAGGCUAUUCAAAAGAAUUUGGCUCACCCACUUCACAACACCUUGGUGGACCGAAAGGCCUAUGGUGGUGGACGGCUCCUCUCUCUGCUGCAGGACAGAAAGACUCAUAAGAUCUUUUGUACCCACAGCCAUCAGACUCUACAAUUUAAAUAGUAGAUGACUUUUUGAGACAUGACAAGUGAGACUACAGACAAUUGAAUUUCCCUUAGGGGAUAAAUAAAGUUCUUUGUAUCUUAAAUACAUUUUCAGUUAUCUCUUAUGAACACUGUAUUUUUAGUCAUUAAUUUGAUUGAAGGGUUAUCGAACAAGACAAUGGUCACUUCCAGCUUUUGACUCAACUUGACUUUUGAUAGAUGUAUAGUUGAGGACAGCCACUUGGUGGAUUGAGUAAAAGUACAUUAUAAUCUCACUAGCUUUGGGUGGAUGUUGGAUCAUUUAAUUUUGUCUUUAAUAAAAAAAGAUUAAUGUUUUUUUCCAUUGUGUCUUACAGGUAUCCUGUCCAGUCUCCCCACUCUCCCCUAUCAUUUUGGUCCCUCUGACUUUCCUGUCUCCUCUACCACUCUUUCUGAUUGAAAAGCCACUCUGCCUUUCUAUCCCCCUUCUAUCCCACUCUGGCUACUAAUACAAUCCUUGAACAAAUCUUUGAUACCAUUGAAACAAAUCUUUGAGACCCUUUGCAAUAAAUCUUUGAGACCUUUUGCAACAAAUCAUUUGAGACCCUUUUGCAACAAAUCAUUUGAGACCCCUUUGCAACAAAUCAUUUGAGACCCCUUUGCAAUAAAUCUUUUUGAGACCUAUUUUAACAAGCCACCUUUUUUGAGAAACCUUUGUAAACAAUCAACCCUUUUUUUGAGAAACCGAACUUCUGAAAAGCUGUACAUUUAAUACAACCACUGUAUUGGAAAAAGCCCUAAUUUUGCAAAAGUCUCAUUGUUGUUCUAGGUUUUCCUUUCCUGUCUGUGGAUCCAGAGUUUCACCAGAAGAAGUGUCAUCAGCACCACCAUAUCUGCGUCCCUGAUUUUGAAAGAAAAAAUAAACACGUUUCAUAUAGAAUAUUUGACUUGCAUAUUAUUUCAAGCACAAAGUUCAAAGAUUUACAAAUAGUUGCUGAUUUGUGUUUUUUUCUGAAAACAUUUAUAUAGCCUUGCCUAGGAUUUCCUUAGAAAACAUUUGAUAAACUAUUGUGGUAUACACACAGUUAUAAAUUAGAUAUUUUGGAGACUAUAAGAGCUGUUAAAUAACCUCCUCUCUUUAAGAAAUAAAGCGUUUUGUCUGUACUGGUGCUUGUCAUUAACUUUAAAUUGUUGAAUAAACACAUUGUUGUGUAAGGACAGCUACAAUGCCGAGAAAGAGUAAGAGGUCACAGGUUGCAAGCCAGCGCUGGCAGAG
rnacentral:lncRNA from 1 species